GGCCUAAAUUUGAAGUAGAGUAAAUUAGAAGUAUCAGCUGACCCUACUGAUCCACUCUAAUUCGAGUUUGUGCCC
rnacentral:pre_miRNA from 1 species